rnacentral:rRNA from 1 species
GACGAACGCUGGCGGCGUGCUUAACACAUGCAAGUCGAGCGGUAAGGCCUUUCGGGGUACACGAGCGGCGAACGGGUGAGUAACACGUGGGUGAUCUGCCCUGCACUCUGGGAUAAGCCUGGGAAACUGGGUCUAAUACCGGAUAUGACUACAUGCUACAUGGUGUGUGGUGGAAAGAUUUAUCGGUGCAGGAUGGGCCCGCGGCCUAUCAGCUUGUUGGUGGGGUAAUGGCCUCCCAAGGCGACGACGGGUAGCCGACCUGAGAGGGUGACCGGCCACACUGGGACUGAGACACGGCCCAGACUCCUACGGGAGGCAGCAGUGGGGAAUAUUGCGCAAUGGGCGGAAGCCUGAUGCAGCGACGCCGCGUGAGGGAUGAAGGCCUUCGGGUUGUAAACCUCUUUCAGCAGGGACGAAGCGUGAGUGACGGUACCUGCAGAAGAAGCACCGGCUAACUACGUGCCAGCAGCCGCCGUAAAAC